AGAGUUUGAUCCUGGCUCAGAUUGAACGCUGGCGGCAUGCCUUACACAUGCAAGUCGAACGGCAGCACGGGAGCAAUCCUGGUGGCGAGUGGCGAACGGGUGAGUAAUAUAUCGGAACGUGCCCAGUCGUGGGGGAUAACGCAGCGAAAGCUGUGCUAAUACCGCAUACGAUCUCUGGAUGAAAGCGGGGGACUCGUAAGAGCCUCGCGCGAUUGGAGCGGCCGAUAUCAGAUUAGCUAGUUGGUGGGGUAAAGGCCCACCAAGGCGACGAUCUGUAGCUGGUCUGAGAGGACGACCAGCCACACUGGAACUGAGACACGGUCCAGACUCCUACGGGAGGCAGCAGUGGGGAAUUUUGGACAAUGGGCGCAAGCCUGAUCCAGCAAUGCCGCGUGCAGGAUGAAGGCCUUCGGGUUGUAAACUGCUUUUGUACGGAACGAAAAGGUCUGCCUUAAUACGGUGGGCCCAUGACGGUACCGUAAGAAUAAGCACCGGCUAACUACGUGCCAGCAGCCGCGGUAAUACGUAGGGUGCGAGCGUUAAUCGGAAUUACUGGGCGUAAAGCGUGCGCAGGCGGUUAUAUAAGACAGAUGUGAAAUCCCCGGGCUNCACCUGGGACCUGCAUUUGUGACUGUAUAGCUAGAG
rnacentral:rRNA from 1 species